UGGGGAUAUGGCGAAAUCGGUAGA
rnacentral:tRNA from 4 species